rnacentral:hammerhead_ribozyme from 1 species
ACUCAACUGAUGAGUCCCAAACGGGACGAAACGCGCGUCCCAGAU